rnacentral:rRNA from 1 species
GUCGAGAAUUUUUGACAAUGGGGGAAACCCUGAUCGAGCGACGCCGCGUGGAGGAUGAAGGUCUUCGGAUUGUAAACUCCUGUCAUUUGGGAACAAGGUGCACACGUUAACUGCGUGCGUAUUGAUAGUACCAGAAGAGGAAGAGACGGCUAACUCUGUGCCAGCAGCCGCGGUAAUACAGAGGUCUCAAGCGUUGUUCGGAUUCAUUGGGCGUAAAGGGUGCGUAGGCGGCGCGGUAAGUCGGGUGUGAAAUCUCGGAGCUUAACUCCGAAACUGCAUUCGAUACUGCCGUGCUUGAGGACUGGAGAGGAGACUGGAAUUUACGGUGUAGCGGUGAAAUGCGUAGAUAUCGUAAGGAAGACCAGUGGCGAAGGCGGGUCUCUGGACAGUUCCUGACGCUGAGGCACGAAGGUCAGGGGAGCAAACGGGAUUAGAAACCCUAGUAGUCC